UAGGGAAUUUUCCGCAAUGGACGAAAGUCUGACGGAGCAACGCCGCGUGAGUGAAGAAGGAUUUCGGUUCGUAAAACUCUGUUGUUAGGGAAGAAAAAAUGUAUAGUAACUAUAUACAAAAGAGACGGUACCUAACCAGAAAGCCACGGCUAACUACGUGCCAGCAGCCGCGGUAAUACGUAGGUGGCAAGCGUUGUCCGGAAUUAUUGGGCGUAAAGCGCGCGCAGGUGGUUUGGAAAGUCUGAUGUGAAAGCCCACGGCUCAACCGUGGAAGUUCAUUGGAAACUACUAAACUUGAGUGCCGGAGAGGAAGGUGGAAUUCCUAGUGUAGCAGUGAAAUGCGUAGAGAUUAGGAGGAACACCGGUGGCGAAAGCGGCUUUUUGGCCUGCAACUGACACUGAGGCGCGAAAGCGUGGGGAGCAAACAGG
rnacentral:rRNA from 1 species